rnacentral:lncRNA from 1 species
GUUGGGGCAAGUAUGGACACAACAUUCAAGCUGGAUUCAGCUCAAAAUUUGGAUUGUGAUUAAAUAGUUGACACAGCAUAGGUUUCUGACACAGAAUGAAUGUGGUCUAAUGAACUUAAAAUUUUUUUUUUGCCUUUGAGCAAUUCACUAUGCUGUUGAAUAUUAAUCCUCUCAAAAAAAUGUUUGAAGAAAUUUUCUUUUUAUUUAUGAAAUCUGAAAUGAGAAAAAUUAACCCCCUCCCCCAUUUUUUUUUCACAUCCCCCUUUCCCUUUUUCCAAAACUG